GUAAUAUUAGUAUAAGUUUUAUUAUUUUUAAUUUUCGAUUAAAAGAUUUUUUAUUAUU
rnacentral:tRNA from 1 species